GUUCCCAUCCCGAACACGGAAGUUAAGCCCUUCAGCGCCGAUGGUACUGCGCAAGCGGGAGAGUAGGUCGUCGCCAGGC
rnacentral:rRNA from 1 species